rnacentral:rRNA from 1 species
AACGCUAGCGGCAGACUUAACACAUGCAAGUCGAGGGGUAACGACUCCGUCUUCGGAUGGAGGUCGACGACCGGCGCACGGGUGAGUAACGCGUAUGCAACCUACCUUUUACAGGAGGAUAGCCCAGAGAAAUUUGGAUUAAUACUCCAUAGUACUAAUGAAUCACCUGGUUUAUUAGUUAAAACUCCGGUGGUAAAAGAUGGGCAUGCGUGUCAUUAGCUAGUUGGUAGGGUAACGGCCUACCAAGGCGAAGAUGACUAGGGGUUCUGAGAGGAAGAUCCCCCACACUGGUACUGAGACACGGACCAGACUCCUACGGGAGGCAGCAGUGAGGAAUAUUGGUCAAUGGGUGAGAGCCUGAACCAGCCAUGCCGCGUGAAGGAAGACUGCCCUAUGGGUUGUAAACUUCUUUUCUGCAGGAAGAAACCACUCUACGUGUAGGGUGUUGCCGGUACUGCAGGAAUAAGCAUCGGCUAACUCCGUGCCAGCAGCCGCGGUAAUACGGAGGAUGCAAGCGUUAUCCGGAUUUAUUGGGUUUAAAGGGUGCGUAGGCUGGCUUGUAAGUCAGUGGUGAAAUGCUGUGGCUUAACCAUAGAAUUGCCAUUGAAACUGCAAGUCUUGAGUAACAGUUGAGGUAGGCGGAAUGAGUAAUGUAGCGGUGAAAUGCAUAGAUAUUACUCAGAACUCCGAUUGCGUAGGCAGCCUGCUAAACUGUAACUAACGCUGAUGCACGAAAGCGUGGGGAGCGAACAGGAUUAGAUACCCUGGUAGUCCACGCUGUAAACGAUGAGCACUGGUUGUUGGCAAUACACCGUCAGCGACUGAGCGAAAGUAUUAAGUGCUCCACCUGGGGAGUACGUCGGCAACGAUGAAACUCAAAGGAAUUGACGGGGGCCCGCACAAGCGGAGGAACAUGUGGUUUAAUUCGAUGAUACGCGAGGAACCUUACCUGGGCUUAAAUGUAGAGUGCAUUGCUUGGAAACAGGCAUUUUCUUCGGAACUCUUUACAAGGUGCUGCAUGGUUGUCGUCAGCUCGUGCCGUGAGGUGUCGGGUUAAGUCCCAUAACGAGCGCAACCCCUAUUGUUAGUUACCAGCACGUAAUGGUGGGGACUCUAGCAAGACUGCCGGUGUAAACCGUGAGGAAGGUGGGGAUGACGUCAAAUCAGCACGGCCCUUAUGUCCAGGGCUACACACGUGUUACAAUGGCAAGUACAAAGAGCAGCCACCUGGCGACAGGGCGCUAAUCUCAAAAGCUUGUCUCAGUUCGGAUCGAAGUCUGCAACUCGACUUCGUGAAGGUGGAUUCGCUAGUAAUCGCGCAUCAGCCAUGGCGCGGUGAGUACGUUCCCGGGCAUUGUACACACCGCCCGUCAAGCCAUG